rnacentral:rRNA from 1 species
GAUGAACGCUGGCGGCGUGCUUAACACAUGCGAGUCGAACGAGAAGUGAAGACGGAAACCUUCGGGCGGAAGGCUUUAUUUCGAGUGGCGGACGGGUGAGUAACGCGUGGGUAACCUGCCUCAUACAGGGGGAUAACAGUUGGAAACGACUGUUAAUACCGCAUAAGACCACAGCACCGCAUGGUGCGGGGGUAAAAACUCCGGUGGUAUGAGAUGGACCCGCGUUCGAUUAGCCAGUUGGCGGGGUAACGGCCCACCAAAGCGACGAUCGAUAGCCGAUCUGAGAGGAUGACCGGCCACAUUGGGACUGAGACACGGCCCAAACUCCUACGGGAGGCAGCAGUGGGAAAUAUUGCACAAUGGGGGAAACCCUGAUGCAGCGACGCCGCGUGAGUGAAGAAGUAUUUCGGUAUGUAAAGCUCUAUCAGCAGGGAAGAAAAUGACGGUACCUGAGUAAGAAGCCCCGGCUAACUACGUG